GAUGAACGCUAGCGAUAGGCUUAACACAUGCGAGUCGAGGGGCAGCAUGGUCUUAGCUUGCUAAGACUGAUGGCGACCGGCGCACGGGUGCGUAACGCGUAUGCAACUUGCCUCACAGAGGGGGAUAACCCGUCGAAAGACGGACUAAUACCGCGUACACUCCAUCUUGGGCAUCCAAGGUAGAGGAAAUGAAAUUCGCUGUGAGAUAGGCAUGCGUCCCAUUAGCUAGUUGGUGAGGUAACGGCUCACCAAGGCGACGAUGGGUAGGGGAACUGAGAGGUUGAACCCCCACACUGGUACUGAGACACGGACCAGACUCCUACGGGAGGCAGCAGUGAGGAAUAUUGGUCAAUGGGCGAGAGCCUGAACCAGCCAAGUCGCGUGAAGGAUGACUGUCUUAUGGAUUGUAAACUUCUUUUAUACGGGAAUAACAAGAGUCACGUGUGACUCCCUGCAUGUACCGUAUGAAUAAGCAUCGGCUAACUCCGUG
rnacentral:rRNA from 1 species